UNCAGUGUGGUUUUACCUCAAUAAUUGUAGC
rnacentral:piRNA from 1 species